AUGUGGGUGCCGGUCCUGUCUGGAUGGAUACUGCAUGACAUGCACGACCGGUAUACACGGCUGGACGUGAAAACACCCGGUGCACCCGGGCGCCUAUCACGUGUAGCAUUAACGCAGCAUAACACAUACAAUGCAAAGCAUGCAAUGCGAAAUAGUUAACACACAGCAUGAAGCGGAGCAUAAAACACAGCAUGACGCGCAGCGCAACGCCCAGCAAAACGCGUAGUGGAAAGCAUAGCAUCAAGCAUAGCGCACAGCAUAAAACAUAGCAUAAAGCAUGCAUACCUUAGUGUUACACACAGCAUAACGCAUAACGCUAGAACAAAGCACAGCCUGAGCCAAAAAACAUAAAGCAAAGCGUAAAGAUGAUACCCAUAGAGCACAACAUAAAAACGUAGUGUAAAACGAAGCGUUAAGCAUACCGUAAAGCAUAGGGGUCCAUAGUGUAAACCCCAUAGCGCAAUACAUACACAGGCAGGCGGCUGGCAGAGGUUAAGGCCUGACUUCUGCUCCCAGUCGACCCAGUCGACCCGGGUUCAAAUCCGCCUGCCGGCUCCUCGGGUGUUUGAGGAGUGAUGAAAUGGGAGGUGGCCCCCCAUCUUAUGGACGGUGUAGGACGUGAUAAUAUCAACUUGCGAGCUGACCAGGAACUAAGUUGAUGCGCCGUUGAUCCGCUAGAUUUGGUUGGAUGCUGGUGGUGAGUUGCCGAACCCAACGAAUACAUUCUGAAGUCGGAUGGGGUGACGGAUUAGGGUGCCCCUCUAGCAGGGGAGAGCAGGGACUGCCCCGGGAAAGGGGGCCGCUGGCGAAGUUAACCACCCUGUAACAACAUACACAGCACGGCACUCUGCACCCGACGACACGUAGCUCACCAGUGAUGAGAAGGGUUGUGGACUGGCCCACUCCCGGCGGCUUGACGAGGC
rnacentral:lncRNA from 1 species